GCACUCUGGUUUUCCUUUAUAUCGAGUAAAUCUUUCGCCUUUUACUAAAGAUUUCCGUGGAGGAGAGCACUGAAAUGAGUAUAUCACUCAAUU
rnacentral:snRNA from 1 species